GACGAACGCUGGCGGCGUGCUUAACACAUGCCAGUCGAACGGAAAGGCCCUGCUUUUGUGGGGUGCUCGAGUGGCGAACGGGUGAGUAACACGUGAGUAACCUGCCCUUGACUUUGGGAUAACUUCAGGAAACUGGGGCUAAUACCGGAUAGGAGCUCCUGCUGCAUGGUGGGGGUUGGAAAGUUUCGGCGGUUGGGGAUGGACUCGCGGCUUAUCAGCUUGUUGGUGGGGUAGUGGCUUACCAAGGCUUUGACGGGUAGCCGGCCUGAGAGGGUGACCGGCCACAUUGGGACUGGGAUACGGCCCAGACUCCUACGGGAGGCAGCAGUGGGGAAUAUUGCACAAUGGGCGGAAGCCUGAUGCAGUAACGCCGCGUGCGGGAUGACGGCCUUCGGGUUGUAAACCGCUUUCGCCUGUGACGAAGCGUGAGUGACGGUAAUGGGUAAAGAAGCACCGGCUAACUACGUG
rnacentral:rRNA from 1 species